ensembl:lncRNA
AUGGAGCAGGCAGCACCUUGCGAGGAGGCAGCAGAACCCGUGGACACCAGCCCACAUGGGGGGACCUGAUGAGACCCCAAGAGGAAGAACAGCUGCUCACAUUUUGUCCCUCUGCCACUGGUUGUGAGGCAGCUGGCCUAUGACACAUGGUCAUGCCCAGUCAGUGGGAGCUCCCAGUUCCUGAGGGAUUCUGCACGGUCAGAGGCCUGCAGAGACAAAGUAGUCAGACAGUGACCUGGGAUGAAGAGGAAGGAAAUGCAGCAAUGGUAGAUGAAGUUUAAGCAUUCGUGGAAUAAAAGAUUGUCCACCACAGGGAGAGGAAGAGCUGAAGGUGACUGUCCUUUCCACUGAUAAAAGAGCCAAUGGACAGCACUACCUGAGGAGGACUGGAUUUUUCUUCUUUUCUGUGCUCCACUCAUGGCUUUGUUUAUGCAAGUUUUGGUUUUUAUUCAGGGAAUCAGAGCAGCUCUCCCCCAUGUCAUCUUUGAAGCAGCAGUGCUGGGGAGCUGUAACAUUUGUGUUUUAUUGCAGCGUGGGAACCCCUUACUGAUUGCAGCUGACUGCAAGUCAGGUCACUGUUGGGGAAGGGACAAACAUGAAACAAUAUGCUGGCGCAGUUUCUCUUGCUCAGACCUUCCUCGGUCAUUCAAAACUUGAACAAAUACUUGUAACUCUCAGUUUCUCAAGCAAAAACAGCUUCAGGCAGCUAUAUAAGCAUGUUCAAACCUCAGUGACUGCACAAAACUUACUAAUUCUCAAUUAGUGCUUUUGUCAAAUCUUUUGUUGCUGAAUGAACAGUCUCUGCAUUACAUAAAUCAGAAGGAAUAGACUGCUGCCAGAUUUGGCUCCGUUUCUUAUUGGAAGUCAAUAGGAAACUAAUAAAAAGCAGACAACCAGGAAAUCUGUUGCUUGGAGUCCAUGCUAAGUGGUUGCUAAGUGUUGUGAAAGUCUGGGCUUCUGUCUUCAUACAGAUGUCAUGGUUUCCACCUCUACAAUUAGUCAUUCUAACUAAUGUCAUGUGUAAUCUACUUUGGAGUUUAAAAUAAAUAAUAAUAAAAAAC